CAACGUUUCUAUUCUUAGCAGAGAGCUCCUCUCUUAUAAUUUAACUCACAAUUGAAAUCUACCCAUCUCCCACCAUUCCCCUCCUCUAAAGAUUUCCUUGUCCCCCCCUCUCAACAAAAUCCCUCCUCUUUUCUUUUCUGGGAUUCCUACAAAUUGUAGGAGAUCCCAUUUCCGGGUUUUUGAAGAGAGAAAAAGCUGCUCUUUUUUGUGUUCAUUGUUGGGUGGGUGAUCAUGCUCAUGAGGUGAUAUAUACUCUGUUUGAGCAAAUUUGUGGCAUUUUGGAGAAAAGAGAGGGAAAAGGGAGGGCUAAAUGGAGAACAAAAGAGCGCUUCUUUCUGCC
rnacentral:lncRNA from 1 species